GACGAACGCUGGCGGCGUGCUUAACACAUGCAAGUCGAACGGAAAGGCCCUGCUUUUGUGGGGUGCUCGAGUGGCGAACGGGUGCGUAACACGUGAGUAACCUGCCCUUGACUUUGGGAUAACUUCAGGAAACUGGGGCUACUACCGGAUAGGAGCUCCUGCUGCAUGGUGGGGGUUGGAAAGUUUCGGCGGUUGGGGAUGGACUCGCGGCUUAUCAGCUUGUUGGUGGGGUAGUGGCUUACCAAGGCUUUGACGGGUAGCCGGCCUGAGAGGGUGACCGGCCACAUUGGGACUGAGAUACGGCCCAGAGUCCUACGGGAGGCAGCAGUGGGAAAUAUUGCACAAUGGGCGGAAGCCUGAUGCAGCAACGCCGCGUGCGGGAUGACGGCCUUCGGGUUGUAAACCGCUUUCGCCUGUGACGAAGCGUGAGUGACGGUAAUGGGUAAAGAAGCACCGGCUAACUACGUG
rnacentral:rRNA from 1 species